rnacentral:rRNA from 1 species
GUUAUAUGGUCAAGUGAAGAAGCGCAUACGGUGGAUGCCUUGGCAGUCAGAGGCGAUGAAAGACGUGGUAGCCUGCGAAAAGCUUCGGGGAGUCGGCAAACAGACUGUGAUCCGGAGAUGUCUGAAUGGGGGAACCCAGCCAUCACAAGAUGGUUAUCUUACGCUGAAUACAUAGGUGUAAGAGGCGAACCAGGGGAACUGAAACAUCUAAGUACCCUGAGGAAAAGAAAUCAACCGAGAUUCCCUUAGUAGUGGCGAGCGAACGGGGACCAGCCCUUAAGUUGUAUUGAGAUUAGCGGAACGCUCUGGAAAGUGCGGCCAUAGUGGGUGAUAGCCCUGUACGCGAAAAUCCCUUUGCAAUGAAAUCGAGUAGGACGGGGCACGAGAAACCUUGUCUGAAUAUGGGGGGACCAUCCUCCAAGGCUAAAUACUACUGACUGACCGAUAGUGAACCAGUACCGUGAGGGAAAGGCGAAAAGAACCGCGGAGAGCGGAGUGAAAUAGAUCCUGAAACCGUAUGCGUACAAGCAGUGGGAGCCCACUUUGUUGGGUGACUGCGUACCUUUUGUAUAAUGGGUCAGCGACUUAUUUUCAGUGGCGAGCUUAACCGAAUAGGGGAGGCGUAGCGAAAGCGAGUCUUAAUAGGGCGUCUAGUCGCUGGGAAUAGACCCGAAACCGGGCGAUCUAUCCAUGGGCAGGUUGAAGGUUGGGUAACACUAACUGGAGGACCGAACCGACUACCGUUGAAAAGUUAGCGGAUGACCUGUGGAUCGGAGUGAAAGGCUAAUCAAGCUCGGAGAUAGCUGGUUCUCCUCGAAAGCUAUUUAGGUAGCGCCUCAUGUAUCACUGUAGGGGGUAGAGCACUGUUUCGGCUAGGGGUCAUCCCGACUUACCAAACCGAUGCAAACUCCGAAUACCUACAAGUGCCGAGCAUGGGAGACACACGGCGGGUGCUAACGUCCGUCGUGAAAAGGGAAACAACCCAGACCGUCAGCUAAGGUCCCAAAGUCAUGGUUAAGUGGGAAACGAUGUGGGAAGGCUUAGACAGCUAGGAGGUUGGCUUAGAAGCAGCCACCCUUUAAAGAAAGCGUAAUAGCUCACUAGUCGAGUCGGCCUGCGCGGAAGAUGUAACGGGGCUCAAACCAUGCACCGAAGCUACGGGUAUCACCUUUGGUGAUGCGGUAGAGGAGCGUUCUGUAAGCCUGUGAAGGUGAGUUGAGAAGCUUGCUGGAGGUAUCAGAAGUGCGAAUGCUGACAUGAGUAACGACAAUGGGUGUGAAAAACACCCACGCCGAAAGACCAAGGUUUCCUGCGCAACGUUAAUCGACGCAGGGUUAGUCGGUCCCUAAGGCGAGGCUGAAAAGCGUAGUCGAUGGAAAACAGGUUAAUAUUCCUGUACUUCUGGUUAUUGCGAUGGAGGGACGGAGAAGGCUAGGCCAGCCUGGCGUUGGUAGUCCAGGUUUAAGGUGGUAGGCUGAGAUCUUAGGUAAAUCCGGGAUCUUAAGGCCGAGAGCUGAUGACGAGUGUUCUUUUAGAACAUGAAGUGGUUGAUGCCAUGCUUCCAAGAAAAGCUUCUAAGCUUCAGGUAACCAGGAACCGUACCCCAAACCGACACAGGUGGUUGGGUAGAGAAUACCAAGGCGCUUGAGAGAACUCGGGUGAAGGAACUAGGCAAAAUGGCACCGUAACUUCGGGAGAAGGUGCGCCGGUGAGGGUGAAGCAUUUACUGCGUAAGCCCACGCCGGUCGAAGAUACCAGGCCGCUGCGACUGUUUAUUAAAAACACAGCACUCUGCAAACACGAAAGUGGACGUAUAGGGUGUGACGCCUGCCCGGUGCCGGAAGGUUAAUUGAUGGGGUUAGCGCAAGCGAAGCUCUUGAUCGAAGCCCCGGUAAACGGCGGCCGUAACUAUAACGGUCCUAAGGUAGCGAAAUUCCUUGUCGGGUAAGUUCCGACCUGCACGAAUGGCGUAACGAUGGCGGCGCUGUCUCCACCCGAGACUCAGUGAAAUUGAAAUCGCUGUGAAGAUGCAGUGUAUCCGCGGCUAGACGGAAAGACCCCGUGAACCUUUACUAUAGCUUUGCACUGGACUUUGAAUUUGCUUGUGUAGGAUAGGUGGGAGGCUUUGAAGCGUGGACGCCAGUCUGCGUGGAGCCAACCUUGAAAUACCACCCUGGCAACUUUGAGGUUCUAACUCAGGUCCGUUAUCCGGAUCGAGGACAGUGUAUGGUGGGUAGUUUGACUGGGGCGGUCUCCUCCUAAAGAGUAACGGAGGAGUACGAAGGUGCGCUCAGACCGGUCGGAAAUCGGUCGUAGAGUAUAAAGGCAAAAGCGCGCUUGACUGCGAGACAGACACGUCGAGCAGGUACGAAAGUAGGUCUUAGUGAUCCGGUGGUUCUGUAUGGAAGGGCCAUCGCUCAACGGAUAAAAGGUACUCCGGGGAUAACAGGCUGAUACCGCCCAAGAGUUCAUAUCGACGGCGGUGUUUGGCACCUCGAUGUCGGCUCAUCACAUCCUGGGGCUGAAGCCGGUCCCAAGGGUAUGGCUGUUCGCCAUUUAAAGUGGUACGCGAGCUGGGUUUAGAACGUCGUGAGACAGUUCGGUCCCUAUCUGCCGUGGACGUUUGAGAUUUGAGAGGGGCUGCUCCUAGUACGAGAGGACCGGAGUGGACGAACCUCUGGUGUUCCGGUUGUCACGCCAGUGGCAUUGCCGGGUAGCUAUGUUCGGAAAAGAUAACCGCUGAAAGCAUCUAAGCGGGAAACUUGCCUCAAGAUGAGAUCUCACUGGAACCUAGAGUUCCCUGAAGGGCCGUCGAAGACUACGACGUUGAUAGGUUGGGUGUGUAAGCGCUGUGAGGCGUUGAGCUAACCAAUACUAAUUGCCCGUGAGGCUUGACCAUAUAACACCCAAGCAAUU